rnacentral:rRNA from 1 species
CCUACGGGGGGCAGCAGUUAGGAAUCUUGCGCAAUGGGCGAAAGCCUGACGCAGCGACGCCGCGUGCGGGAUGAAGGCCUUCGGGUUGUAAACCGCUUUCAGCAGGGACGCGGUACCUGCAGAAGAAGCCCCGGCCAACUACGUGCCAGCAGCCGCGGUAAUACGUAGGGGGCAAGCGUUGUCCGGAUUUAUUGGGCGUAAAGAGCUCGUAGGCGGUUUGGUAAGUCGGGUGUGAAAUCUCCAGGCUCAACCUGGAGGGGUCAUUCGAUACUGCCAGACUAGAGGUCGGUAGGGGUGUGUGGAAUUCCUGGUGGAGCGGUGAAAUGCGCAGAUAUCAGGAGGAACACCCGUAGCGAAGGCGGCACACUGGGCCGUCUGACGCUGAGGAGCGAAAGCGUGGGGAGCGAACAGGAUUAGAUACCCUUGUAGUC